UACGUAGGUGGCAAGCGUUGUUCGGAAUUACUGGGCGUAAAGCGCGCGUAGGCGGCUUUGUAAGUUAGAGGUGAAAGCCCGGAGCUCAACUCCGGAACUGCCUUUAAGACUGCAUCGCUUGAAUCCAGGAGAGGUGAGUGGAAUUCCGAGUGUAGAGGUGAAAUUCGUAGAUAUUCGGAAGAACACCAGUGGCGAAGGCGGCUCACUGGACUGGUAUUGACGCUGAGGUGCGAAAGCGUGGGGAGCAAACAGG
rnacentral:rRNA from 1 species